rnacentral:rRNA from 1 species
GACGUAGGGCGCGAGCGUUGUCCGGAUUUAUUGGGCGUAAAGAGCUCGUAGGCGGCUCAUUGCGUCAACCGUGAAAACCAGCAGCUCAACUGUUGGCUUGCGGUUGAUACGGGUGGGCUGGAGUUCGGUAGGGGAGACUGGAAUUCCUGGUGUAGCGGUGAAAUGCGCAGAUAUCAGGAGGAACACCGGUGGCGAAGGCGGGUCUCUGGGCCGAUACUGACGCUGAGGAGCGAAAGCGGUGGGGAGCGAACAGGAUUA